CAAUUGAGAUUUAUGCGUUCCGUGUACUUAUCUCAGAUCGAAAAUUUGCAAUGGCUACCACAAAUUAUUAUUUAUUUGCGGCAUUCUUUAUAAUUAUACUCACCUGCAAUUUCUUACACAGGCGACUGCUGAUUCCAUUCAAGGAUGUGGCGGAUUUGUUGUGGUAGUAACUAAAUACCGAAAAUGAUUCGUUUCUCGUCUAAUGAUAGACUGAUUUUUGAGCGUAAUCAGUGUUAGAUCUCAAUUUUGAACUCCAUGUUGACCGUGGAAAUUCAGCGAUCGACAUCGACGAUUUGGUGAAAGGCGGAGCCGUGGGACUAUGGGCGUGAAAGAGAGAUGGAAGAUAGGUUAAGGCGCGGUGGAGAUGGAAGAUUGUGUUUGCAUGUCUCGUGAGUGGCUGUUGGGACUUGGGGUGAAAUUUGAGGUUUUUUUCUUCAUUCGCAACGUUCAAUUAACGUUGCAAAAGGGGAAGUUUUUGCAACGGCCAACAAACGUUGCAAAAGGUGAGUUUCAACAACGUUUGUCAAGCGUUGCUAUAAAAUUAACUUUUCGCAAAGAGAGAUGGAAGAUAGGUUAGGGCACGGUGGAGAUGGAAGAUUGUGUUUGUAUGUC
rnacentral:lncRNA from 1 species